UCCCUGGAAGACUAGUGGUUAGGACUCGGCUCUCAUCACCGUGGCCCGGGUUCGAUUGCCGGCCAGGGAA